CAGUGACUGCUUUUGUGCUUAU
rnacentral:miRNA from 1 species